GAACUUAAGCAUAUCAAUAAGCGGAGGAAAAGAAACCAACAGGGAUUGCCCUAGUAACGGCGAGUGAAGCGGCAACAGCUCAAAUUUGAAAUCUGGUCCUCGUGGCCCGAGUUGUAAUUUGCAGAGGAUGCUUUCAGGUUUUGGUGCCUUCUGAGUUCCCUGGAAUGGGACGCCAUAGAGGGUGAGAGCCCCGUAUAGUCGUGCACCAGGCCGUUGUAAAGCACCUUCGAAGAGUCGAGUAGUUUGGGAAUGCUGCUCUAAGCAGGAGGUAAACUUCUUCUAAAGCUAAAUACCGGCCAGAGACCGAUAGCGCACAAGUAGAGUGAUCGAAAGAUGAAAAGCACUUUGAAAAGAGGGUUAAACAGCACGUGAAAUUGUUGAAAGGGAAGCGUUUGUGACCAGAAUCGCGCUCGGCGGAUCAUCCGGCGUUCUCGCCGGUGCACUCUGCCGUGCCCAGGCCAGCGUCGGUUCUUUUCGGGGGGAUAAAAGCUCUGGGAAUGUGGCUCCUCCGGGAGUGUUAUAGCCCUAGGCAGAAUACCCUCGUGGGGACUGAGGUUCGCGCUCUGCAAAGACGCUGGCAUAAUGGUCACCAGCGACCCGUCUUGAAACACGGACCAAGGAGUCAAGCAUUAGGGCGAGUGUUAGGGUGCAAAGCCCUGGCGCGUAAUGAAAGUGAACGCUGGUGAGAGCUUCGGCGCAUCAUCGACCGAUCCUGACCUCCUGUGAUGGAUUUGAGUAAGAGCCUUAACGCUUGGACCCGAAA
rnacentral:rRNA from 1 species